rnacentral:rRNA from 1 species
UACGGAGGGGGCUAGCGUUGUUCGGAAUUACUGGGCGUAAAGCGCACGUAGGCGGCUUUGCAAGUCAGAGGUGAAAGCCCGGGGCUCAACCCCGGAAUAGCCUUUGAGACUGCAUCGCUUGAACAUCGGAGAGGUAAGUGGAAUUCCGAGUGUAGAGGUGAAAUUCGUAGAUAUUCGGAAGAACACCAGUGGCGAAGGCGACUUACUGGACGAUUGUUGACGCUGAGGUGCGAAAGCGCGGGGAGCAAACAGG